GACGAACGCUGGCGGCGUGGCUUAACACAUGCAAGUCGAACGGACCUUAGCAUCAAGCUUGCUUAAUGCGAAAGGUUAGUGGCGGACGGGUGAGUAACACGGUGGAUAAUCUGCCUAUGACACAGGGAUAACACUGUGAAAACGGUGCUAAUACCAGAUACGUUUAUCGAAUCGCAUGGUUUGAUAAAGAAAGGAGCAAUCCGGUCAUAGAUGAGUCCGCGGCUGAUUAGCUAGUUGGUGAGGUAACGGCUCACCAAGGCGAUGAUCAGUAGCCGGCCUGAGAGGGUGAACGGGCCACACUGGGACUGAGACACGGCCCAGACUCCUACGGGAGGCAGCAGUGGGGAAUUUUGGACAAUGGGCGAAAGCCUGAUCCAGCCAUUCCGCGUGCAGGAUGAAGGCCCUCGGGUUGUAAACUGCUUUUAGCCGGGAAUAAACACCCGUUUUAUAACGGGCCCGAAGGUACCGGCUGAAUAAGCAUCGGCUAACUCCGUGCCAGCACG
rnacentral:rRNA from 1 species